CUGAAGAGGCCAUGGAGAGAUUCUGAGGCUUUGCACCUGAAGAGGCAAGAAGAGGCCAUUGGUGAGGAUGCAGCCUCAGUUUCAGUGGAGACCAUAGCUUUUUGGAGAUUCCAGGACUGUGGGAGAGCCACCAAGAACAGCAUCAGGUAUGGAAUGGAGCUGGCCUGGGUCUGCGAGAUGAGCUGUGUGUGCUGUGGACGGCAGAGUCAGAGAAGUGGAGCUGCCAGAACCCUUUGGAGCCCAGAAGAUGCAGUUACUUGGGAGCACGACCAGCGGGUAAAGGGUGGGAGUGCAUGAAGGCAGGCCAACUUGAACAAGAACAUCUCAAGACUCUCCUCGGCCAAUGAAAGCUGUGGUUCCAGCCAGCAUCAGUGGAAUAGAGAAUCAUGUACUGCCACCAAAGAAGCAAUGCAAACACACAGGAAGUGAUCACUGCCAGAAGAAUUGGUGCCUCAAAGCCAGGAAAAGAACUUGAAUUUCUUAGCAUCUUUCCAACAGAAGGACUUUUCUGUUCAAGAGAGUGUUGGCUCCUAUUUAUUGUAUCAAACAAUAAAACCAUUCACGUGUA